AGUGAACGCUGGCGGUAGGCCUAACACAUGCAAGUCGAACGGCAGCACAGUAAGAGCUUGCUCUUACGGGUGGCGAGUGGCGGACGGGUGAGGAAUACAUCGGAAUCUACUUUUUCGUGGGGGAUAACAUAGGGAAACUUACGCUAAUACCGCAUACGACCUACGGGUGAAAGCAGGGGAUCUUCGGACCUUGCGCGAGUGAAUGAGCCGAUGUCGGAUUAGCUAGUUGGCGGGGUAAAGGCCCACCAAGGCGACGAUUCGUAGCUGGUCUGAGAGGAUGAUCAGCCACACUGGAACUGAGACACGGUCCAGACUCCUACGGGAGGCAGCAGUGGGGAAUAUUGGACAAUGGGCGCAAGCCUGAUCCAGCCAUACCGCGUGGGUGAAGAAGGCCUUCGGGUUGUAAAGCCCUUUUGUUGGGAAAGAAAAGCAGCAGGUUAAUACCCCGCUGUUCUGACGGUACCCAAAGAAUAAGCACCGGCUAACUUCGUG
rnacentral:rRNA from 1 species